UGGUCGUUUGUGUUGUAGAAGUUGAUCGAUGCUUGUAGUAAAGGUGACGGACCGUUUGGAUGACAUUUCGUCUGCAGGCCCACUAGCCUUCUCCAGAAGUGUGGCGAGAGCCGAGUCAAAAGAAUGGCAGACUGUGCAGCUGAAGAGGAAAAGGGCGAAUUCUCCAAUCGUCAGGGAGCAGAGAGAAGAAUGAUCAUUCAACCGACAUCUUUAGAAGACCCCACACUCAACAAACUUAAAGAG